ACUGUGAACUAGUCAACAAACAACUGAGAAUGAACAUUAUAUUUCUGAAUUUAUGAAAACUGACUUGGAAACUUUGAAAAUGAACUAAAAAUGAGUUUAUUUUCUUUGUCUUUCUCUGUUUAUUGUAAAUAAAACGUUAUCCACUCUGUGGCAUUUCGUUGUUCGUGUUUUAUGACAACAAUUUUAGCCGCCAUUUUGGGGAAUAUUUUAGCUAUUUGUGUUAAACUUGGAAAUGUUAAAGUGAAAAAAACUGAACCAAACGAAGAAAAAGUAGAGGCAAUACAUUCAUUCUGUGCUUGAUCUCAUAAGAUAAAUCGUAUUUCACCACCUACUUAUGUUGUCAAAACGACAACAAUGAAUUGAAAAGAAGGUUUAAAAGCUUUGGAAACUUCAAUCAAAACCAUUGAAGAAGUCAUUAUGAACAAGAAAGCCAAAGGUUGUCACAGAUAUGGAUGAAGUAGAUUUUGCAAAGGAACUGGAAAUAUAUGAACAUCAAAAUGCAGAAGUUGAUGGUGAUGAUGAUAAUCCUGAUGAAGAAGAGCAAGAUGAAGCAUAAAUAAUUGUGGUUUGUUCUAAAACAUUUUAAAAGACACAUACUGUAUUUUAUUUUUAUCUUACACGACCCUGCAGUUGACUUGAACUGCAUUUAGUUAAACUUCAAUUAUAUUCACACCCAACAGAGAUAUCAAUCUUUCAUGUUACUAUUAGAAAUAAAUGUUUCAUGGUCAGUA